rnacentral:rRNA from 1 species
UGGGGAAUAUUGGACAAUGGGCGAAAGCCUGAUCCAGCCAUGCCGCGUGUGUGAAGAAGGUCUUCGGAUUGUAAAGCACUUUAAGUUGGGAGGAAGGGCAGUAAGCGAAUACCUUGCUGUUUUGACGUUACCGACAGAAUAAGCACCGGCUAACUCUGUGCCAGCAGCCGCGGUAAUACAGAGGGUGCAAGCGUUAAUCGGAAUUACUGGGCGUAAAGCGCGCGUAGGUGGUUCGUUAAGUUGAAUGUGAAAGCCCCGGGCUCAACAUGGGAACUGCAUCCAAAACUGGCGAGCUAGAGGAGGGCAGAGGGUGGUGGAAUUUCCUGUGUAGCGGUGAAAUGCGUAGAUAUAGGAAGGAACACCAGUGGCGAAGGCGACCACCUGGGCUCAUACUGACGCUGAGGUGCGAAAGCGUGGGGAGCAAACAGG